rnacentral:rRNA from 1 species
GAUGAACGCUGGCGGCGUGCCUAAUACAUGCAAGUCGAGCGAACAGACGAGGAGCUUGCUCCUCUGACGUUAGCGGCGGACGGGUGAGUAACACGUGGAUAACCUACCUAUAAGACUGGGAUAACUUCGGGAAACCGGAGCUAAUACCGGAUAAUAUAUUGAACCGCAUGGUUCAAUAGUGAAAGACGGUUUUGCUGUCACUUAUAGAUGGAUCCGCGCCGCAUUAGCUAGUUGGUAAGGUAACGGCUUACCAAGGCGACGAUGCGUAGCCGACCUGAGAGGGUGAUCGGCCACACUGGAACUGAGACACAGUCCAGACUCCUACGGGAGGCAGCAGUAGGGAAUCUUCCGCAAUGGACGAAAGCCUGACGGAGCAACGCCGCGUGAGUGAUGAAGGUCUUCGGAUCGUAAAACUCUGUUAUUAGUGAAGAACAAAUGUGUAAGUAACUAUGCACGUCUUGACGGUACCUAAUCAGAAAGCCACGGCUAACUACGUG